rnacentral:rRNA from 1 species
UCAUGUGGCCAUACCGGCUUGUCAAAAGCCUGAUCUUGUCAGAUCUAAGCAGGGCUGGGCCUGGUUAGUACUUGGAUGGGAGACUGCUGGGAAUACCAGUUACCACAGUGG